GACGAACGCUGGCGGCGUGCUUAACACAUGCAAGUCGAACGAAGUGGCGAACGGGUGAGUAAUACGUGAGUAACCUGCCCUCCUUUUUGGGAUAAGCCUUGGAAACGGGGUCUAAUACCGGAUAGAGGGGGAUGGGCUCGCGGCCUAUCAGCUUGUUGGUGGGGUGCUGGCCUACCAAGGCGGGGACGGGUAGCCGGCCUGAGAGGGUGACCGGCCACAUUGGGACUUAGAUACGGGCCAGACGCCUACGGGAGGCAGCAGGGGGUAAUAUUGCACAAUGGGCGGAAGCCUGAUGCAGCGACGCCGCGUGGGGGAUGACGGCCGUCGGGUUGUAAACUCCUUUCACCAUCGACGCGGUAGAUGGAGAAGAAGCACCGGCUAACUACGUGCCAGCAGCCGCGGUAAUUC
rnacentral:rRNA from 1 species